rnacentral:rRNA from 1 species
GAAGGGGGCUAGCGUUGUUCGGAAUUACUGGGCGUAAAGGGCGUGUAGGCGGCCCGUUAAGACAGGUGUGAAAUUCCUGGGCUCAACCCAGGACGUGCGCCUGUGACUGGCGGGCUUGAGUCUGGGAGAGGAUGGUGGAACUCCCAGUGUAGAGGUGAAAUUCGUAGAUAUUGGGAAGAACACCCGUGGCGAAGGCGGCCAUCUGGACCGGUACUGACGCUAAGGCGCGACAGCGUGGGGAGCAAACAGGAUUAGAUACCCUGGUAGUCCACGCCGUAAACGAUGAGUGCUAGACGUUGGGCAGCCUAGCUGUUCAGUGUCGCAGCUAACGCAUUAAGCACUCCGCCUGGGGAGUACGGCCGCAAGGUUG